UGCAGUCGAGGGGUAUGAUUUUGAGUUUACUUGAAAUCAGAGACCGGCGCACGGGUGCGUAACACGUAUGCAACCUACCCUUUACAGGGGGAUAGCUCAGAGAAAUCUGAAUUAAUACCCCAUAGUUACAUUUCGCUGCAUGGUGAGAUGUAUAAAGCUCCGGCGGUAAAGGAUGGGCAUGCGUUACAUUAGCUAGUUGGUGAGGUAAUGGCUCACCAAGGCUACGAUGUAUAGGGGUUCUGAGAGGAUGAUCCCCCACACUGGUACUGAGACACGGACCAGACUCCUACGGGAGGCAGCAGUAGGGAAUAUUGGACAAUGGACGCAAGUCUGAUCCAGCCAUGCCGCGUGCAGGAUGACAGCCCUCUGGGUUGUAAACUGCUUUUAUAUGAGAAGAAACCCUCAGAUGCGUUUGAGGCUGACGGUAUCAUAUGAAUAAGGAUCGGCUAACUUCGUGCCAGCAGCCGCGGUAAG
rnacentral:rRNA from 1 species